UACGAAGGGGGCUAGCGUUGCUCGGAAUCACUGGGCGUAAAGGGUGCGUAGGCGGGUCUUUAAGUCAGGGGUGAAAUCCUGGAGCUUAACUCCAGAACUGCCUUUGAUACUGAGGAUCUUGAGUUCGGGAGAGGUGAGUGGAACUGCGAGUGUAGAGGUGAAAUUCGUAGAUAUUGGGAAGAACACCGGUGGCGAAGGCGGCUCACUGGCCCGUAACUGACGCUCAUGCACGACAGCGUGGGGAUCAAACAGG
rnacentral:rRNA from 1 species